rnacentral:rRNA from 1 species
GCCUGUUUACCAAAAACAUCGCCUCCUGCAACAAAACCAAGUAUAGGAGGUCCAGCCUGCCCAGUGACCACAAGUUCAACGGCCGCGGUAUUUUGACCGUGCAAAGGUAGCGCAAUCACUUGUCUUUUAAAUAGAGACCUGUAUGAAUGGCUAAACGAGGGCUUAACUGUCUCCCCUUUCAAGUCAGUGAAAUUGAUCUGCCCGUGCAGAAGCGGGUAUAAUAAUACAAGACGAGAAGACCCUUUGGAGCUUAAGGUACAAAACUCAACCACGUCAAGCAACUUAAUAAAAAGAAAAAACCUUGUGGAAUAUGAUAUUUUACCUUCGGUUGGGGCGACCACGGAGGAAAGAAAAGCCUCCAAGUGGAUCUGGGAAAAUUUCCUAAAGCCAAGAGAGACAUCUCUAAGCCGCAGAACAUCUGACCAAACAUGAUCCGGCAACAAAGCCGAUCAACGAACCAAGUUACCCUAGGGAUAACAGCGCAAUCCUCUCCCAGAGUCCAUAUCGACGAGGGGGUUUACGACCUCGAUGUUGGAUCAGGACAUCCUAAUGGUGCAGCCGCUAUUAAGGGUUCGUUUGUUCAACGAUUAAAGUCCUACAUGAUCUGAGUUCAGACCGG